AUGGCAUUUGCUAUAGGGAUGAGGUUAAAAAGUUAGCAUUUGAGCUAAAUAAGACUGGAGUAAAAAAUGGCCCGUAUAGCUGGUGUGAACAUACCAGAU
rnacentral:sRNA from 1 species